CCGCGUGCGGGAUGAAGGCCUUCGGUUGUAACCGCUUCAAGCAGGGACGAUAAUGACGGUACCUGCAGAAGAAGCUCCGGCCAACUACGUGC
rnacentral:rRNA from 1 species